AUUUAUAUAGUUUAAAUAAACCAUUCCAUUUUCCCUGUAAAGAUAAUAUUUUAUAUUUAUAAAUA
rnacentral:tRNA from 1 species